rnacentral:rRNA from 1 species
CCUACGGGAGGCAGCAGUGAGGAAUAUUGGACAAUGGGCGCAAGCCUGAUCCAGCCAUGCCGCGUGCAGGAAGAAGCAUCUAUGGUGUGUAAACUGCUUUUGUACAGGAAGAAACACUCCCUCGUGAGGGAGCUUGACGGUACUGUAAGAAUAAGGACCGGCUAACUCCGUGCCAGCAGCCGCGGUAAUACGGAGGGUCCGAGCGUUAUCCGGAAUCAUUGGGUUUAAAGGGUCCGUAGGCGGUUUAAUAAGUCAGUGGUGAAAUCUGGUCGCUCAACGAUCAAACGGCCAUUGAUACUGUUAGACUUGAAUUAUAAGGAAGUAACUAGAAUAUGUAGUGUAGCGGUGAAAUGCUUAGAUAUUACAUGGAAUACCAAUUGCGAAGGCAGGUUACUACUUAUGGAUUGACGCUGAUGGACGAAAGCGUGGGGAGCGAACAGGAUUAGAUACCCUGGUAGUCCACGCCGUAAACGAUGGAUACUAGCUGUUCGGAGCAAUCUGAGUGNGUAGAGAAGUAGAUAAGUAUACCACCGUCGGGAGGUACGUUCGUCGAAGAAGUAGUAAACGUUAAAGUUAAGUAAGUUAGUACGGACGUGAGAGACGACGACGACGACGACGGAGGGAGGAGG